ACGUGCUUGCGGUGAAAACAUCGAAGUCACAAGGAGUUUUAUAUACCUUGGUAGUGCAGUUCAUGACUCUGGGCUGUCAGACCAGGAAGUCAGUAGACGGAUUGGCCUGGCAGCAGGGGUCAUGAAAUCUCUCGACAAGAGUACAGAUAGUCCCCGACUUAAGAACAUUCUACUUACGCACAUAACGUACAUACGAACAUUUUUUUUUUUUCUUUCUUUCUUUUUUUUAAUACUUAAGUCAAAAAAAUUGGUUGAAAGAUGCUAGCAAACUUCAAAUUUCCCGGGCGCGAAUAUAGUUCACGAGUCUGCCACGCCGCGGCGCCGCCGCGCUCACCCAGCUGUGCCAUCACUCGCCUGCCCUCCCGUCAUAAAUACGAAAGCCUCUCUUCACUGUGUCCUUGUGUACCGACAAUUUUUGUGCCAUAAUUCGCGUUAUCUGUGCAUCAAUCCAUCAAAAAUGUCGGGUGUGAAGAGAAAGAUAGACGGUGAAGCCAGUGGAAUUGCCAAGAAAUGUCACACUAUAACUUUAUGGAUCUUAUCAAUUGGUUCGCCAGCCAGUCAUCACUACAAUAUAUUUUCUUUUUGAAUAAAUUAUGUUUCUACAUUUAAAGUUAUAUAAAUCACCAAAUAAUAAUAUCUCAUUCAUGACGGGUGACGCGCUAGGCGUGAAAAGAAACCGCACGAAAAGUGCGGCUGUACGCGGCGGCGGCGCCAAAGCGCGGCGAACCAGUGAUUCGGCCUGAUGUACGGAACUCGCGCUCUCAAGUCGGCGCGCUGCCAUUGUUUACCAGAGCGUAGAGUUUUUUAUUUGCCUGUCACCACUACACUAUAUUUUCUUUUUUGAAUAAAUUAUGUUUCUACAUUAAAGUUGUAUGAAUCACCAUCAAAUAGUAUUAAAAGCAUUACAUAUUACAGGUACCGUAUAAGGUAUGUCGUCGUACUUAUUGGGAUUUAUGUACUGGUAUUCUUAAUGUAAACAAAACUUUAAAACAAUGGGGGAAAAAGGCAAUGGAGACCCGACUUUCGACAUACGAUCAAAUCGACUGUCCAUAAGUUGGGGACUUUCUGUAUUUGGAGAUGCCGGUACCUGUGCAGAAGGACCAAGCUACGAGUUUUCAAGGCCCUGAUACUGCCAGUUUUAUUAAAUGGUAGUGAAACUUGGACGCUAUCUUGUGCUUUGGAAUCUCGUCUCGAUGCAAUUUGUAACAGGUCCUUGCGCAGGAUCAUGGGGUACAGUUGACGGGACCAUGUGUCCAACCAACAGCUACACCGUGAGACUGGUACAGGACCUGUUACUUGCACAAUCCGUGAUCACCAACUCAGGCUGUAUGGCCACUUGGCUCGAUUCCCGCAGGAUGAUCCUGCCCAUCAGGUUGUCUCUUUCCGAGACAAUCCUGGGUGGAGGAGGCCUGUGGGACGACCGAGAAGGUCGUGCUUGGGCAGAUUGAUCAAACCUGUCAUGAGGAACUAGAGAUGGGCCGGGUCCCUGCCUGGCGGCUCGCCAUGAGAGACCCUCGCAGGUGGAAACGAAGGGUGGACGCGGCUAUGCGCUCCUACCGGCGUUAGCUCCCAAAUGAUGAUAUAUAUGUAUAUAUAUAUAUCAUAUGUAUGUAUAUAUAUCAUAUAUAUAUAUCAUAUAUUUAUGUAUAUUAUCUUUUAUAUAUAUAUAUUAUAUUUAUAUUUUAUAUAUAUGUAUAUAUGAUAUAAAUAUGAUAUACAAAUAAAUAAAUAUUUUAUAUAUAUAUAUACAGUAAGUCAACAACUUAAGAACAUAAUGGGGACCAAGAGGCUGUUUGUAAGUUGAUUUGUUUGUAUGUCGAAAGUCGGGUCUCCAUUACCCUUUUUCCCCUUGUUUUAAAGUUUUGUUUACAUUAAGAAUACCUGCAAAUCAAUCCCAAUAAGUACUGCAUACUUUAUACAGUAACAGACUCUUGAACUAUAUUCGCGCCCGGGAAGUUUGCUAGCAUCUUUCAAACAAUUUUUUGGACUUUAGUUCUUAAAAUUUUUUGUUUGUAUGUGUGGAAUGUUCUUAAGUAGGGGACUAUCUAUAUAUAUAUAUAUAUAUAUAUUAUAUUUGUUACAUUAUAUAUAUAUCUAUAUUAUAUAUAUUAUAUUAUUAUUUUAUAUGUAUAUAUAUAUGUUAUACAAAUUUACAAUUAUUUGAUAAAUACGCCAAGCUCUUUCUCGAAUAAAUCGCUUAAAGCAUACAAGUCUCUGGAAGCCUACAUUUUCUUCAAUUGUGGCCAUGUUCAAGACGUUUUUUUACCAUGUAAUCGACAAGAGCAGUAAUUUCUGUUUCAUUAACCCAUUCCCGCCGGGCAUGCCAUGCCAUGCCCACUGUGAGAUUACUUGUUGGAUUGUUUUUACACAUAGAUGGCUACACUUGUACUAAAUCACCAAUGAGCCAGUUACGAGCACCGCCCGUCUCGCCCGUUUACCCGUUUCUUUGAUUUACGAAAUAUUUUACGUUAUCUUAUUUUGCUGUUACUAAUGUUAAAAAACAUUAUAAAAAUUAUAAUGUUUAAAAUGAAAAUAACACCAACGAUAUUCAUGGCACAAGUGAAAAAUACGUUUUUCCCACUAUUUCAAAUCAGGCACCAACAGAGCCAUCUAUGGGCAAAAAAACUUAAACAAAAAAAGUGUAGAAAAUAGGCACAGUAUUUUCCCCAUUUUUUGUUCAUUUUCCCCGGCGGCAAUGGGUUAAGUCUGAAGUACAGUAAAUCUAUUUUGUUUCAGUUUAUCGAAACUUUACCAACAGCAAUUCAUUUAUUCAGAACAGAAAAUUACAGCAUAUUUUAUGUUCAUAGUUUGUUUUACUUACAAUUUUGAGAGGGUAACUUUCAGUGAGACGACUUGAAUGCUGGAAUCAAUCUAUAUUUUCUCCACAUCGCACCAGGAUGGCCUCAUCCAGCAAUACUGCAAGAUAAAUUGUCUUUGUUGACCAUCAUAUUUUGCUCAUUGUUGUCAUAGGGGGGCUUAGGAGAUGGAGACUGGGGCCCAGUGUAGGGGAUUGCCAUUGUUUCAACUAAUUUUGCAUGGUCUUCUCCCCCUUUUCCCUUUUCUUCUUCAUCCCCUUCUGUCCACUUCCUAAGGUAUGAGAACUGGGCUGAAAGGAUGGCUUUGUGUUAGCCUUGAAUGGUCUUCGGGAGCCAUAGGCACUAUGUUUUCUUGGUUGAUCGCCUACCCAAAUAAUCAAGAUUUUUAUUUACCCUCAUUAGGAACAUCAAGACUUGUCCCUUCAUUAACUAGUUUAUCUAAAUUUGAUUUCAUUGGUUUCCUGACCAGUCUCUCCUUUGAUUGCUGCCAACUCUAUCCAUUCUGUGCUUUAUAUACCCUGACUGAUUGUUCUUUUUUACGACAAGGACUGGUCAGACUGUGAAAACUUGUUUGCAUGCCUCGUCAACUGUGAUACAGUGGUGGUCCAGUACUAUACUAUUACUCCCAGAGCCAUAAGACAUAACCUCCCCCAUAAUAUUUAUAUAGGUGAGGUGUUUGUCCUGCCUGACAUUAUAGACCCUUUCCCCAUCAUUGUCAGAAAUGGUGGUUUGGCCACCCAGCCAAACACUCACUCUACAGCCCACUGUUCUCUAUGUGCCAUCCUGAUCAUGACCAUUCAAAUUGCUCUGCCCUCCAAUCCCUCUAUUCCUAUUCAAUCGACAUUCAAAGUAUUUGCUGAUAUCCAUCCCCUUCCACCUCAAGUUCCCCCUACCCCACUUCCUUCCAAUUUCUCAAAAAGCAUCAGUAUUCCCUCUUUCCUCAUUAUCCUUACCACUUUCACCCGGAUGCUCACAUGACUCCCUUAUGUCACAACAAUGUCCUCUGGAUCCAUCCACUCCUGACAUUCUUCCCAAUACUUCACCAGCUGCCCCUGUUCCCUUAUCUCAUUCUUUGGAUUCUUCUCCUACUUCUAUUGUGGCUAUUGUGCCUAUUAGUUAUGGAUAGAUAAACUCACGUAAAUCCGAGGGAGAACAUCGGUCUGGGUGACUGGAAACAUCUUCACUGGAACACUUGUCAACCAUAGGUGCACAGGAUGUAAUUGGUACUACUGGUAGGAACCGAUGAUUUCUCCAAAACAUUGGUUCUGAAGGUGUUUGGAGAAGGUAGUCACAGCUCUGGCCAAGUCCCAUGAUUAAAGCUGCUUUAUCCCAUCGCCUGAAGACAGGAUCUUGUAUCCAGACAUAAUUAAUUUUAAUUUUAAUUUAGUUUGAUUCCAUUUGUUACAAUGGAUAUUCUUGGUGUGACAUACUGUCUUGUUUUAUUUUGCUUCUAAAUUAUCCCCUGUGUGCAAGGAAUGGCCGGGGUUACCAUCCACUGGUGGCGAGGAAUUCGAACGCAGGUCAGCAAGAUUGCUAGACGAGAUCGCUACCGCUGAACCACACCGCACACAUAAGUGAUGAAGGGAAUUGUUACAAGAUAUAUUAAGAGAGAUAGAAUCCCGGGACACUAAUCUCAGCUUAAUCACUCAUGGUUUUUCUCCACUUAUCAUAAGGGCUGUGAUUGAUAUUCUCGUUGAGAUUAUUACCUUCCACGAGGCUUAACCCAAGCAAAAUUGCUGUUUCUGAUUAAUGUAAUUUCUAGUAUAUUUAGAAUGUCUUUCUUAACAAUUUUCAAAUAUAUGACUAAUCAAUAAAUUGUGAAAAUA